rnacentral:lncRNA from 1 species
UGCUUAUAUUUUGAUACGGAGGGAGUAUAUUUUUUCUGUUGAAACAAGGCAUGCUUCACUCAAACGAAUUUUCUGUUUCAAGCAAUAAUCUCCUUCCCUUCACCGCCACAACAACAACAAUCUUCAAAUUGAUUUGGUGAGGAACCUUACAGAGUACAAUGUUACCAGUAUUUUUUUGGUAUAGGUUCAAUUAAUUUCUAUAUUUUUGUCUCUUAGUAUCCCUGUCAAUUUUGGAUCCUUUCACCGUAAUUUAAUUGUAUUUUGAUUUUUAUGAAACAGAUGCUGCUUCUUGAAGGUUGGUGUGAGCAGAUAUUGGAUAGAACAUCUACAUCUGUUAGAAUGGUUGAUGACUGUGGAAUUGUUUGGG